rnacentral:rRNA from 1 species
GUCCUACGGGAGAAAGCAGGGGACCUUCGGGCCUUGCGCUAUCAGAUGAGCCUAGGUCGGAUUAGCUAGUUGGUGAGGUAAUGGCUCACCAAGGCGACGAUCCGUAACUGGUCUGAGAGGAUGAUCAGUCACACUGGAACUGAGACACGGUCCAGACUCCUACGGGAGGCAGCAGUGGGGAAUAUUGGACAAUGGGCGAAAGCCUGAUCCAGCCAUGCCGCGUGUGUGAAGAAGGUCUUCGGAUUGUAAAGCACUUUAAGUUGGGAGGAAGGGCAUUAACCUAAUACGUUAGUGUUUUGACGUUACCGACAGAAUAAGCACCGGCUAACUCUGUGCCAGCAGCCGCGGUAAUACAGAGGGU